rnacentral:lncRNA from 1 species
ACCCUUAAUAUUAGAAAAAGAGGUAUAUAUUUGAGAAAAUCAAAAUCGAUGUUGUAGUCACAUUUUCAGACAAAUGUGAUGUAUAGUGUGAACAUUGCAAUAUGUUUGGUAUGUAUUUCUACAGCUGGAUUUGCCUUGAGUUCAGAAAGGAGGUAGCUAAUGGACUGAUGGUGUUUGACAAGUUAUGGUUUAGGGUGUAAUAAUGUUUAGGCUUGAGAAUUCUUAUCGACCUUCUGAAAUGCUGUACUUUUUAAUUUGGAAGAGUUAAACAUGUAUUUUAAUAUCAACAAAAACAAUGUGUAUAUAUAAUAUGUCUCUUUAUCUAAUCUACCUAUUAAUAUCUAGAUAUCUGAUUGAAUGGCAAGACAUCCUCAUGUUAAUGAAGGGAAGGCCUAGUGAAUUAGCUAAGGUGAGGAGUCCUUCCCCUGCAGGAAAGAGUAUAUUUGCAAAGACAGGUCAGGUCUGAGUCACAAUUUUUGGGUUAGUGGCAAGCUGAUGAAGUCAAUCCAGCUUCAUGUUCUCCUGACUAAUGCAAGAUUUGGGUCAGAGUCCAGGCCCUGCCUCUAUGGAGAGAACAGGCAAGGGCAGGCAAAGUAGUGUGAACAGAGACCUAAUUUAAGCUCAAAUCCUUUGUCGUUCAACAAAAGAGUGAGGGGAUUUUAUGUUAGAGUUGGGGUGAAAAAUAGAAGCAAGGACACCAGUAAUUCUGUCUGCAUAUUUUAAUCACAUUGGGAGGGCUGCCCGAUUUCAGCAUUAUCUGUUGCUCAUCUGAAAUUUCAGAUGAGCAACAAAUAAUUUUUUAAAUAUAAGUAUGCCCAAUGCAAAUAUUUGGGAUAUAUUUGUAAUAAAAAAUAUUUUUGUCUAUCUGAAAUUCGAAGACAUUGGCGUCUUCCAUUUUACCUGGAAGCCCUACGUGAGGAAUAUGUUAAAAUAGCUAAAUCUUGAAUUACUGCCCGAGAUAUUCAAAUUUAAUUAGUCUGGGUUUCAGCCUGAGCAUAAGUACUUUACAAAAUACCCCCGGAGUUUUAAUGAGCAAUUGAGAGCCACUGAUUAAAACUCAACCCAUAUUAAACAGGUGAGGAAACUGAAGUCCAAGGUGUCAUAGAAGAUAGUGGUAAAAUGGGGAUGAAAAUUUAGGAUUUUCCGGUACUCUUUGUCCUCUACCCCCUCCAUCUUGACUGUUAAACAGUAGAAAACAUGUUUCUCCUUUUGAAGCUUAAGGGGUAGCCUCCUUUGAGAACUCUAUUUGCUCUUAGGUCUCUGAAGUUGGGGGUCAUCUCCCCUAAUGUAAGUCACUCCAUUAAAUUCUGUAGUUCUCACCCUAGAAAGCGUUAGAGAUCUGCCUUUUAUGAAUCUUACUCAUGAAUGCUUUAAAGUUCAUUUAUCCUAAUUGUUAACUCCAUAUCUGGGAGCUUUAAAAAACACUAAUGUCUGGAUGCCACCCUCAGAGAUUCUGAUACAAUUGGUCUGGGGUGCAGCAUAAGCACUGGAAUUUUUGGAAAGCUUCCCGAGUGAUUCUAAUGCUCAGGCAGAGAAGAACAGUACUGCUUUCUCAGACUCUUUAAAUGCAGUGGACCUGGGGCCUGUAACUCUAAAGUUGUCUGUAAGUGGCGGGUCCAGCUGAGCCCAUCGCAGAUGUGUGUAAAUCAGCAACUUCAAAGGCUGGAAAUGCUGAGCUUGACUGCAGGGUAAACCUGGAAUGCCUCAUAUGUUAUUCUUUCAAGACUUGUCAAAGCAUUUGAAUCAGUUCUAAUUAAAAAACACAUA